rnacentral:lncRNA from 1 species
ACAGCUGGGGGCCUGCUGGCCUGGCAGAGGGACCUGGGAGAGCAGGGGGUUCACUUAGGAACAACGGGGUUUAGAGGGGGAGUUUUACACAGAUUGUUCCUAGUGUCUUGACUCAGCUUUUAUUGCUUUUCCAGAUCCACCUCCGACCCUUAAGCCAGAGACUCAGCCACCAGAGAAACGGCGGAGAACAAUUGAGGAUUUCAACAAAUUCUGCAGUUUUGUUUUGGCAUAUGCUGGUUACAUUCCCCCUAGCAAAGAGGAAAGUGACUGGCCAGCCUCUGGCUCCAGCUCUCCAUUGCGAGGAGAGAGUGCGGCCGACAGUGAUGGCUGGGACUCGGCCCCCUCAGAUCUUCGAACCAUCCAGACUUUUGUUAAGAAAGCAAAGUCAUCCAAGAGAAGGGCAGCUCAAG